rnacentral:rRNA from 1 species
AUUGAACGCUGGCGGCAGGCCUAACACAUGCAAGUCGAACGAGUGGCGGACGGGUGAGUAAUGUCUGGGAAACUGCCCGAUGGAGGGGGAUAACUACUGGAAACGGUAGCUAAUACCGCAUACCAUCGGAUGUGCCCAGAUGGGAUUAGCUAGUAGGUGGGGUAACGGCGCACCUAGGGGACGAUACCUAGCGGGUCUGAGAGGAUGACCCGCCACACUGGAAAUGAGACACGGUCCAGACUCCUACGGUAGGCAGCAGUAGGGAAUCUUCCGCAAUGGGCGCAAGCCUGAUGCAGCCAUGCCGCGUGUAUGAAGAAGGCCUUCGGGUUGUAAAGUACUUUCAGCGAGGAGGCGUUACUCGCAGAAGAAGCACCGGCUAACUCCGUGCCAGCAGCCGCGGUAAUAC